CGGUGAGAAGAGCGAGGCGGAGGAGGGGGUGCCAUGGCCGGGCAGCAGUUCCAGUACGAUGACAGCGGGAACACCUUCUUCUACUUCCUCACCUCCUUCGUGGGGCUCAUCGUGAUCCCGGCGACAUACUACCUCUGGCCCCGAGAUCAGAAUGCCGCGGGGAGAGUCUCAUUUGACCAGGCUGGUCUUGAACUCGCUUCAAGUCAUCCUCCCGCUUCGGCCCCCUGAGUAGCUGGGCUUAUAGACUUGAGCCACUGUGUCAGGAUGGAUUUUUGAAAUUUGAAAGUCAUAUUUUCAUGCCCAGUUGCAGUAUCUUGAAUAUGAAAGAGAAAUCUUGAAUUACUGCCUCAUUCAAAGCUCUGAAUAAGGAACUUUUUUCAGAAGUUUGCUGCAAAAUAAUUUGCCGACUUGUACAGGAGGCUACUGAAUAAUCUUUAUCUCACUUAGGAAAUAGUUAUGUUCUGUCUUGGAAUAUUAA
rnacentral:sRNA from 1 species